rnacentral:rRNA from 1 species
GGUUAAGCGACUAAGCGUACACGGUGGAUGCCCUGGCAGUCAGAGGCGAUGAAGGACGUGCUAAUCUGCGAUAAGCGUCGGUAAGGUGAUAUGAACCGUUAUAACCGGCGAUUUCCGAAUGGGGAAACCCAGUGUGUUUCGACACACUAUCAUUAACUGAAUCCAUAGGUUAAUGAGGCGAACCGGGGGAACUGAAACAUCUAAGUACCCCGAGGAAAAGAAAUCAACCGAGAUUCCCCCAGUAGCGGCGAGCGAACGGGGAGCAGCCCAGAGCCUGAAUCAGUGUGUGUGUUAGUGGAAGCGUCUGGAAAGGCGCGCGAUACAGGGUGACAGCCCCGUACACAAAAAUGCACAUGCUGUGAGCUCGAUGAGUAGGGCGGGACACGUGGUAUCCUGUCUGAAUAUGGGGGGACCAUCCUCCAAGGCUAAAUACUCCUGACUGACCGAUAGUGAACCAGUACCGUGAGGGAAAGGCGAAAAGAACCCCGGCGAGGGGAGUGAAAAAGAACCUGAAACCGUGUACGUACAAGCAGUGGGAGCACGCUUAGGCGUGUGACUGCGUACCUUUUGUAUAAUGGGUCAGCGACUUAUAUUCUGUAGCAAGGUUAACCGAAUAGGGGAGCCGAAGGGAAACCGAGUCUUAACUGGGCGUUAAGUUGCAGGGUAUAGACCCGAAACCCGGUGAUCUAGCCAUGGGCAGGUUGAAGGUUGGGUAACACUAACUGGAGGACCGAACCGACUAAUGUUGAAAAAUUAGCGGAUGACUUGUGGCUGGGGGUGAAAGGCCAAUCAAACCGGGAGAUAGCUGGUUCUCCCCGAAAGCUAUUUAGGUAGCGCCUCGUGAAUUCAUCUCCGGGGGUAGAGCACUGUUUCGGCAAGGGGGUCAUCCCGACUUACCAACCCGAUGCAAACUGCGAAUACCGGAGAAUGUUAUCACGGGAGACACACGGCGGGUGCUAACGUCCGUCGUGAAGAGGGAAACAACCCAGACCGCCAGCUAAGGUCCCAAAGUCAUGGUUAAGUGGGAAACGAUGUGGGAAGGCCCAGACAGCCAGGAUGUUGGCUUAGAAGCAGCCAUCAUUUAAAGAAAGCGUAAUAGCUCACUGGUCGAGUCGGCCUGCGCGGAAGAUGUAACGGGGCUAAACCAUGCACCGAAGCUGCGGCAGCGACGCUUAUGCGUUGUUGGGUAGGGGAGCGUUCUGUAAGCCUGUGAAGGUGUGCUGUGAGGCAUGCUGGAGGUAUCAGAAGUGCGAAUGCUGACAUAAGUAACGAUAAAGCGGGUGAAAAGCCCGCUCGCCGGAAGACCAAGGGUUCCUGUCCAACGUUAAUCGGGGCAGGGUGAGUCGACCCCUAAGGCGAGGCCGAAAGGCGUAGUCGAUGGGAAACAGGUUAAUAUUCCUGUACUUGGUGUUACUGCGAAGGGGGGACGGAGAAGGCUAUGUUGGCCGGGCGACGGUUGUCCCGGUUUAAGCGUGUAGGCUGGUUUUCCAGGCAAAUCCGGAAAAUCAAGGCUGAGGCGUGAUGACGAGGCACUACGGUGCUGAAGCAACAAAUGCCCUGCUUCCAGGAAAAGCCUCUAAGCAUCAGGUAACAUCAAAUCGUACCCCAAACCGACACAGGUGGUCAGGUAGAGAAUACCAAGGCGCUUGAGAGAACUCGGGUGAAGGAACUAGGCAAAAUGGUGCCGUAACUUCGGGAGAAGGCACGCUGAUACGUAGGUGAAGUCCCUCGCGGAUGGAGCUGAAAUCAGUCGAAGAUACCAGCUGGCUGCAACUGUUUAUUAAAAACACAGCACUGUGCAAACACGAAAGUGGACGUAUACGGUGUGACGCCUGCCCGGUGCCGGAAGGUUAAUUGAUGGGGUCAGCGCAAGCGAAGCUCUUGAUCGAAGCCCCGGUAAACGGCGGCCGUAACUAUAACGGUCCUAAGGUAGCGAAAUUCCUUGUCGGGUAAGUUCCGACCUGCACGAAUGGCGUAAUGAUGGCCAGGCUGUCUCCACCCGAGACUCAGUGAAAUUGAACUCGCUGUGAAGAUGCAGUGUACCCGCGGCAAGACGGAAAGACCCCGUGAACCUUUACUAUAGCUUGACACUGAACAUUGAGCCUUGAUGUGUAGGAUAGGUGGGAGGCUUNNNNNNNNNNNNNNNNNNNNNNNNNNNNNNNNNNNNNNNNNNNNNNNNNNNNNNNNNNNNNNNNNNNNNNNNNNNNNNNNNNNNAUCCGGGUUGCGGACAGUGUCUGGUGGGUAGUUUGACUGGGGCGGUCUCCUCCUAAAGAGUAACGGAGGAGCACGAAGGUUGGCUAAUCCUGGUCGGACAUCAGGAGGUUAGUGCAAUGGCAUAAGCCAGCUUGACUGCGAGCGUGACGGCGCGAGCAGGUGCGAAAGCAGGUCAUAGUGAUCCGGUGGUUCUGAAUGGAAGGGCCAUCGCUCAACGGAUAAAAGGUACUCCGGGGAUAACAGGCUGAUACCGCCCAAGAGUUCAUAUCGACGGCGGUGUUUGGCACCUCGAUGUCGGCUCAUCACAUCCUGGGGCUGAAGUAGGUCCCAAGGGUAUGGCUGUUCGCCAUUUAAAGUGGUACGCGAGCUGGGUUUAGAACGUCGUGAGACAGUUCGGUCCCUAUCUGCCGUGGGCGCUGGAGAACUGAGGGGGGCUGCUCCUAGUACGAGAGGACCGGAGUGGACGCAUCACUGGUGUUCGGGUUGUCAUGCCAAUGGCACUGCCCGGUAGCUAAAUGCGGAAGAGAUAAGUGCUGAAAGCAUCUAAGCACGAAACUUGCCCCGAGAUGAGUUCUCCCUGACUCCUUGAGAGUCCUGAAGGAACGUUGAAGACGACGACGUUGAUAGGCCGGGUGUGUAAGCGCAGCGAUGCGUUGAGCUAACCGGUACUAAUGAACCGUGAGGCUUAACCUU